rnacentral:rRNA from 1 species
UAGCGUUGUCCGGAAUCAUUGGGCGUAAAGAGCGUGUAGGCGGUCCGGUAAGUCCGCUGUGAAAGUCGGGGGCUCAACCCUCGAAUGCCGGUGGAUACUGUCGGGCUAGAGUGCGGAAGAGGCGAGUGGAAUUCCUGGUGUAGCGGUGAAAUGCGCAGAUAUCAGGAGGAACACCAAUUGCGAAGGCAGCUCGCUGGGACGUAACUGACGCUGAGGCACGAAGGUCAGGGGAGCAAACGGG